rnacentral:rRNA from 1 species
CACGUAGGGCGCAAGCGUUGUCCGGAAUUAUUGGGCGUAAAGAGCUCGUAGGCGGUCUGUUGCGUCUGCUGUGAAACCCGGGGCUUAACCCCUGGCUUGCAGUGGAUACGGACAGACUAGAGGUAGGUAGGGGAGAAUGGAAUUCCCGGUGUAGCGGUGAAAUGCGCAGAUAUCGGGAGGAACACCGAUGGCGAAGGCAGCCCCUGGGCCAAUACUGACGCUCAUGCACGAAAGCGUGGGGAGCAAACAGG